UACGGAGGGUGCGAGCGUUGUCCGGAAUCACUGGGCGUAAAGGGUGCGUAGGCGGCGCGGAUAGUCGGCGGUGAAAGCCCGGGGCUCAACUCCGGGUCGGCCGUCGAUACUUCCGGGCUUGAGCACUGUAGAGGCAGAUGGAAUUCCGGGUGUAGCGGUGGAAUGCGUAGAGAUCGUAAGGAAGACCAGUGGCGAAGGCGAGUCUCUGGACAGUUACUGACGCUGAGGCACGAAGGCCAGGGGAGCAAACGGG
rnacentral:rRNA from 1 species